rnacentral:rRNA from 1 species
CCAGCAGGGAUUGCCCUAGUACCGGCGAGUGAAGCGGCAACAGCUCAAAUUUGAAAUCUGGCUUUCGGGCCCGAGUUGUAAUUUGUAGAGGAUACUUUUGAUGCGGUGCCUUCCGAGUUCCCUGGAACGGGACGCCAUAGAGGGUGAGAGCCCCGUCUGGUUGGAUGCCAAAUCUCUGUAAAGUUCCUUCGACGAGUCGAGUAGUUUGGGAAUGCUGCUCUAAAUGGGAGGUAUAUGUCUUCUAAAGCUAAAUAUUGGCCAGAGACCGAUAGCGCACAAGUAGAGUGAUCGAAAGAUGAAAAGCACUUUGAAAAGAGAGUUAAAAAGUACGUGAAAUUGUUGAAAGGGAAGCGUUUAUGACCAGACUUGGACUUGGUUAAUCAUCUGGGGUUCUCUCCAGUGCACUUUUCCAGUUCAGGCCAGCAUCAGUUUUCGCCGGGGGAUAAAGGCAGCGGGAAUGUGGCUCUCUUCGGGGAGUGUUAUAGCCCGCUGUGUAAUACCCUGGUGGGGACUGAGGUUCGCGCUUCUGCAAGGAUGCUGGCGUAAUGGUCAUCAACGACCCGUCUUGAAACACGGACCAAGGAGUCGUCUUUGUAUGCGAGUGUUCGGGUGUCAAACCCCUACGCGUAAUGAAAGUGAACGCAGGUGAGAGCUUCGGCGCAUCAUCGACCGAUCCUGAUGUUCUCGGAUGGAUUUGAGUAAGAGCAUACGGGGCCGGACCCGAAAGAAGGUGAACUAUGCCUGUAUAGGGUGAAGCCAGAGGAAACUCUGGUGGAGGCUCGCAGCGGUUCUGACGUGCAAAUCGAUCGUCAAAUAUGGGCAUGGGGCGAAAGACUAAUCGA